ensembl:snRNA U6 U6 spliceosomal RNA
GUGCUCACUUCAGUAGCACAUAUACUAAAAUUGUAGCAAUACAGAAAAGAUUAGCAUACACAAGGAUGACAUAAAAACUUGACUGGCCAGCCUGGCCUAA